rnacentral:lncRNA from 1 species
AUUAAUGCUUUUGUUAUUCGUUUGAAAGUUUGAAAGUCAGAAACCUAGGAAUAGGGUUGUGCUACUAUAUAAAGUUAAAAUAAUUUUUAUGAUGACUAUAUAAUUCAUGCUCUUCUAUCUUGUCUAUAUUUCUUUCUGGGUAUUAAGCCAAAUACUUACAAGUUGGUGUUCUAUUGCAGUACUAUUUUGAUACUCUCUUCCCCCGCAUCCCAGUUCCUGUACUGCGGUUGAUCGUAGCAUUGGUGGUGUUUGGAGUAGUAGGGGCAGUGCUGGGAAGGACUCCUGUGGUGAAAUCUUGUGCUAGGGUGCUGAUUGGAGGCUGGAUGGCU